rnacentral:rRNA from 1 species
CCUAUGGGGCGCAGCAGGCGCGAAAACUCCGCAAUGCGUGCAAGCGUGACGGGGGGACCCCAAGUGCCGUUGGUCUUUUGAUCGACGGUUUUUCGGAAGAGCAAGAAGCUUCCGAAU